rnacentral:rRNA from 1 species
UACGUAGGGUGCAAGCGUUGUCCGGAAUUAUUGGGCGUAAAGGGCUCGUAGGCGGUCCGUCACGUCGGGAGUGAAAACUUGGGGCUUAACCCCAAGCCUGCUUCCGAUACGGGCGGACUAGAGGUAGGCAGGGGAGAACGGAAUUCCUGGUGUAGCGGUGAAAUGCGCAGAUAUCAGGAGGAACACCCGUGGCGAAGGCGGCUUUCUAGGAUAUACCUGACACUGAGAAGCGACAGCUAGGGGAGCAAACAGG